rnacentral:rRNA from 1 species
UACGUAGGUGGCAAGCGAUACUCGGAAUCACUAGGCGUAAAGCGCAGGUAGGCGGUUUAGUAAGUCUGUUGUGAAAGCUCCCGGCUUAACUGGGAGAGGUCAACGGAAACUGCUAGGCUGGAGUGCGGUAGAGGUAGCUGGAAUUCCCGGUGUAGCGGUGAAAUGCGUAGAUAUCGGGAGGAAUACCUAUGGCGAAAGCAGGCUACUGGACCGUCACUGACUCUGAUCUGCGAAAGCUAGGGGAGCAAACAGG